UCCAUAUCUCACAUUCCUUAUGGCAGCCAUUAGCUGCUGUGAGCUGUGAUCAGUGCGUGCAGCCCUGCUGCGACUGGGGGAACUUAAUCCGCCUGGUUUGCAAAGCAGUGACAUUUCUGACUAUUACCUAAACAUUUUUCCUUAUCUCUAUUUCACCCAGAAAUGCAAAAUCCAGCUGUGGAUGGAACAUCCAGGAAAAGGGGUGGCUCUGUGUCCCUGUGUGCUCUGGGCUCUGCCAGCAGAAGGACCAGGGGAAUGACAUCAGUACCAGAUCCAUCCCCAGCAUCUCUGAAUUCCAACUUUGUACCUCAAAGUGCCUGAAACCCCCAAGUUUUAUAGCAGCAAAUUUACUACUGGGUAUAAGUGACCAGGUAUGUUUUGUUAUUGCUGGUGUCACUACUGCACCCUGCACAAUCCCUGUCUAAGGGCCUGAUUCUGACCUGUGUCCCCUGGCUGGGAUCAAGCUCCCUUCCCAGCCUUUUCCAGCUUCUCCUGAUGUACCCUGACUGCUGCCAGUCCAGGGGUCCCUUGCACAAGGAUCUCACCCCAAAAAUACCAUGUGAUAUCACUGCUGGGCUAAUUCAGCAAUUUUAAGUCAUGCUAAUUAUUUGUAAAUAAUCCUUUGAUGUUUUCUUUGUGGAUUUUUAGGUUUUUAGGGCCAAAUCCUGCGUUUUUGGCUUCUCCCAGAAGCCUGGGCACAAAGCAUCUGACUGCAGCUGGGAAUUCAUCACCUCUCUCCCUGGACAUGCAAAUUUUACUGGAACUCCUUCAGCUAAGAAACCAGAAAAAGUGGAUUAAAAAGAAUGAGGUUAUGAAGCAUGAAAAAAUAUUCCAAAACAACUAUGGAGGAGGGAAGAGGAGUUUCUGCUCUGACCCUGGGUGAGUUUAAGGGGGUGCUUUGGAUACUUGGGUGCCAAAUAAUGCUAAUAAUUGAGACUGUCACAUUUUGACGUCAUCAGCACAGCAUCCAGACACUGCCUCUCUCCUUCCCAUCGGUAUUUCCUUGCAAUCCCACAUUCUCUGCAGCCUCUGCUCAUUGGGAGAGCAGGGAAUAGCUGCUGCGGCUCCCUGCUCCCGGCAGCGCGGGAGGGAUGAGCCGAGAUUGAAAUCGUUUCCUACCAUUGAUGUCAGGACGACUCCAACACCGGCUCCGGCUCCAUCCACAUCACUCCUGCACCCCAUCUCUGCAAGGAAAAGUAAUCACUUGUCUUACCUCUGGGUUUAAUUAGUCCCUGCUCCGGGGCUAAUUAGGAGCGCGGUCCGCACGGAGGUCGGGGCCGGAGCCCUCCCUCCCUCUCCCGCUCCCGUUCCCGCUCCUGCCGCCACUCCCGCUCCCAUUCCUGCUCCCGCUCUGUGCCAUCUGCCAUUGCCAUGACACUGGCUUUGCUUUUCACGGCUGGCUGGGCGCGCUGGAUGCGCGGGGUAAUGGGGCUAUUUUUCCCCCCUUGGUCUUUGGAAAGGAAAUAAUAAUAAUAAUAAACGCAGGAAUGGCUGGAACUGCUGCACACUGCCCUUUUCCUUCCCACUUUUGAAGCUUUUUAGCAUUCAGUUUUCCAGCAAUUGGGAGGAAAAUUGCCCUGAAAGAAAGAAAGAAACAAAAAUCUGUGUUAUUUUUUAAACAGCCCCCCACCCCCCGCGCCACACAGGCAGCUGCAGAGAAUUUCUCUUCCAAAGGGAUGAUGUAAUGGGCUUUGUCAGCCAAUGCUGGAAUGAAUAAAACCCGAGACCCGAAAUCCAUCCAGGCUUUUGAUGAAACUCCUGAGGUUCCUGGAGCAAGUGGUCGCCAAAAUAGGCUGGAACUGCUGGUUUUGUCAUGCAGCUCUUGAGAGAAGUGAGAUGGAGAGUCAAGGGCUCCAACCAGGGAAUAACCAAAACCACCAGGUUUUGUCCCUGCUGAGGGAAAGGGGACCUCGUGGGGCAUCUGGGGACACUCCAGUGAAGGGGUGCACAGCCCUUGGUGCUGGGACAUCAACCCAAGCUCCAACACAGAGUCACUCCUGAUCUGAACAUGGCACC
ensembl:lncRNA